AUUUCUUCCUUUUAUAAAUAAAACCCUCCAAGUUUCUCUGCCUAGGUAUAUGACACAAUAGUGGAACACUGCAGUUUCCUCCUUUUUUCUAGGUCCACACUGGUUUGAGUUCUGGCCAAUGCCAUAUGAGUGGAAAUAAUUUGUUCCCUUGUUUGUCACAGCAUUAAAAGGAAUCUCGUUGCUUGUCACUUCCUCUUUCCUUUUUCCGAAGGGGUAGAACACAGAUGUACUGGCGGUGAGCCAUCUCGGAUCAUGUUGAUAAAGCAGCCCGCUGAAGAAUAGUAAAGCAAUAAGACAGAAGAUACUUGAAUCCCUAGCUGGUAUGAUCCAAGCUUGUAUGAUCCAAACUAUGCCAUGUCAGUUUCUGGACCCAAAUCUUAAAGACUGUGGCCGCUUCCACUUCCUGUCUCUUGGAAUACUUCCUAUCAGAGAAAGUCCAAACAGCCCUGUUGAGAGGCUCAUGUGCAGUGGAACUGCAGCUCCUACUGUACAGCCUCAGCUGAUCUUCCAGCCAACAGCCAGCACCAUCUUGCUAGCCAUGUGAGUCAGCCAUCUUAAAAAUAGAUAUUCCGGUCCUAGUCACGUCACCUCAACUGAAAGCUUGUGGAUUAGAGAAGCACCAUCCUGUCAAUCCCUGCCCAAAUUUCAGGUUGGUUGAGAAGACCAUCCAUCAGAGAGACAUUGAACCACUUCUUCAUCCUUCCCUCCAGUGGUUUUGUACCCUGAAGCGCAACCAUAACGCAUGUUCUCUUGAAUUUUAUACAAUAACUUUACAUCAGAGAUGUAACCAUUACUCAGGUCAGGCUUAGUGCAUUUUUCUAUGGGAAAAAAAAUUAUUUAACUUAAUGAUGAAACUAAGCUUGUCUUUUACUAAAUUGUAAAAUUAAGCCAAAAGUAUAAUGUUAUUAUUGGCGAUUUCAUUUUGGAAAUAUCUGCAUAAUUUUUUUGAAAAUGGAUUCAAUUUAACACUGACUCUCUUUGUAUUUACUAAUUUUAGUUCUUAUAGUAAUUUCUACCCCUACCACAUCUACUUCUAGAUAGGUUUACUAGAUAUAUCAACCACAAUAGCCAUAUUCAACAUCCUCUUUUAAACGAAACUGGCUCAACCAAAGCCCCUUACUCUGGGUCACCUGCCCUAGUGGAAGAUCAUUGAUAGUUUGAUGAUAGUGUAGCCUGAUAUAAAAUAAUGAAAUGAGUCAAUUAGAUUACCUUCUCACAACUUUGAACUCAAACUUUCAAUUCAAAAUUGAAAAACACAUUUUUCAAUGGGUAUCAUGAGAGAAGUUGGCACAUGAAGAGAGAUGAGUCUUACAAAUGAUAAAGCAUUAGAGUAGCAAUCUUGCCCUUCCAGAGGCCAGAGUUUCAAGCAUUUUUCUGGCAUCUUAUGCUUAAUUAUCAAAAUAAGUUUCUUGUUACUUAAAGUAAAUUACCUCUCUUUGCCUUGCAAUAUGAUAAUUUCAGUUAUUACCCUAUUCCCUUCAACAGAGUAUUAUUAAAAACAGAUACAGAAAAUAACAUUUUAAUGUAAAAGCAUUAUUUACUGGAUUUC
rnacentral:lncRNA from 10 species